UAAAAGACAAAUCAGAUCAGAUUUUGGAUUGUGUCCUUCAAGGAAGACCACCCACCAGAGGGAUUUUGAUACUCCUGAGAUUUUAAGGAAAAAUCUUGAGGAUCCUUAAUAAUAUCUCCAAAAUUUGCAUCACAUCUUUUGUUAUUAGAUAGAUUUAGGAUUCUUGUUUUGCUAUUUACAUAACAUAUCUAAGUCAAGUACUACAACUUCUUUUUUGACGGAAAGUCAAGUACUACUACUUGGUUUCCCCUUUUUCUGCAUUUAAUUUUCAGAUUUCCCUUGAGAGCCUAAACAAUAUCUCUGUGUUGAAUGUUCAUUCAGCCUUCUUGUACUAUUCAUAUACUAUCCAC
rnacentral:lncRNA from 1 species